CCUACGGGUGGCAGCAGUGGGGAAUAUUGCACAAUGGGGGAAACCCUGAUGCAGCGACGCCGCGUGAGUGAAGAAGUAACUCGUUAUGUAAAGCUCUAUUAGCAGGGAAGAAAAUGACGGUACCUGAGUAAGUAGCUCCGGCUAACUACGUGCAAGCAGCCGCGGUAAUACGGAGGGAGCAAGCGUUAUUCGGAUUUACUGGGUGUAAAGGGAGCGUAGACGGGAGUGCAAGUCCGGAGUGAAAGGCGGGGGCUCAACCCCCGGAGUGCUCUGGAAACUGUACGGCUGGAGUGCAGGAGAGGUAAGUGGAAUUCGUAGUGUAACGGUGAAAUGCGUAGAUAUUAGGAGGAACACCAGUGGCGAAGGCGGCUUACUGAACUGUAACUGACGUUGAGGCUCGAAAGCGUGGGGAGCAAACAGGAUUAGAUACCCCUGUAGUC
rnacentral:rRNA from 1 species